UACAGAGGGGGGCAAGCGUUGUUCGGAAUUACUGGGCGUAAAGGGCGCGUAGGCGGCCUUCUAAGUCGAACGUGAAAUCCCCGGGCUCAACCCGGGAACUGCGUCCGAUACUGGAAGGCUUGAAUCCGGGAGAGGGAUGCGGAAUUCCAGGUGUAGCGGUGAAAUGCGUAGAUAUCUGGAGGAACACCGGUGGCGAAGGCGGCAUCCUGGACCGACAUUGACGCUGAUGAGCGAAAGCUAGGGGGAGCAAACGGG
rnacentral:rRNA from 1 species